CAAAAUCUGGCGGAAGUGACAUUGCCUAAGCCCAAGCCAGCAGUGGCCUGGGGACUCAGGAAUUGUCCAUGGGCUACCCUUCAAAUGACAAUAUCUUGUUCUUUGGCUGAUAUAAUGAGUGAACAGUUGGUCAAAGAACUGCAGUUAGGGGAAGAAACUGUCACUUUUCCUCAAGUAGCUGUUGCUAAAAGACCAUUUAUUACUGAAGAAAACAUUGACACUUCCAGUGACCUAAUGUUGGCUCAGAUAUUAUACAUGGAAUUUGGCAAAGAAUAUGAUGCACAAUUAGACAUAAAGAAAAGAAAAUUCAGUGGAGAUAGAAAAGUUUCCAUGUCCUUUGAAAAUUAUUGAAAAGUGCAUCCUGAUGAAGACAGUGAUAGCUCUGAAGGUGAGGCUGAUUGGCAGGAUACUCAUGAUGAUCUCUACUGACUAGCAAAACCAGUUCCCACUCCCACAAAGGGUUUUAUUGGAAAAGGAAAAGGCAUUGCCACCAAACAUCAUGAAGUAGUAUGUGGGAGAAAGAAUCCAGCAAGAACGGAAAAUUUUGCACCUGCAUUUCAGGUAGAAGACAGAAUGGAUUUAAAACUACCAAACAAAGUUUUUGAUGCUUCAAAACACCAUGCCUACUCAGAAGAACAGCAAAGUGCCUGCCUCCACAAGAAAAAGGAGCAUUCUACGGAAGAAAAUGCAGUUGAUCCUGAGACAUGUUUUCUUAUGUAAAAAUGGUCAACUCUGGAAUGUUUGAGACAAUCAUUGACUAUUAGUACAGGAGAGAAAUCUAUUGUCUUUCAUGUAUACAGAAAGAGCACGGAGGAUGAAAAGAAAUAUAGUAAAGUUAUACCUACAGAAUGUGCCAUCAUGGUAUUUACAACAACCCUUAAUGAGUGGAAGAUUCAUGACAAAUAAGUUAAAGAUGAUCUUAGGUUUCAAGAUCACCUCAGUAAACUAAGUCCACAUAAGAUUAUUCACAUGUGGGCAGAAAGCGAAAUCCACAAUCUCUCAAGAAUGCAGAGAACUAGAAUUCCUCAUCCAACAGUUAUACAACUUGAGUGCAAGAAAUACAUUUUAGUUAUGUCUUUUAUUGGCCAUGAUUAUGUUCCAGCCCCUAAAUUAAAAGAAGUAAAGCUCAGUAGUGAAGGAAUGGAAGAAACCUACUAACAAACUCUUCAUUUGAUGCAGCGGUUAUGUAAUGAAUGUACACUUUUUUAUACCAACCUCAGCAAGUAUAACAUACUUUGGCAUGCUGCAAAGGUCUGGUUGUUUGACAUCAGUCAGUCAGAAGAACCAACGUGUCUUAAUGGACUGGAAUCAUUGUUCCAUGACUAUAAAAUGUCUCACACUUUUUCCAGAAAGGAGUAGUAAGGAAAGCCAUUAAUGAAUGAGACCUCUUCAAUGCUGUUUUAAACAUCUCAGCAGAUAAUGAAGGGGAUUUUUUUAGCUAAGACAGAAGCUUUGGAGAAAAUGAAUGAAGAUCACAUUCAGAAGAAUGGAAAGAAAGCUGCUUCAUGCCCACCAGUAUUGUAUGGUG
rnacentral:lncRNA from 1 species